rnacentral:tRNA from 1 species
GUCGGGUCGGGUGAAUUCAAUAAUAGACGCCUGUUGGCAUUCCAGCCUUCCUUCGCCUUUCAUGGCCACAUAUCUUUCCGG